CACACAGCCUGUGGGGAAGCACAGCUGUCAGGGCUGGAUUUUCAGGAUUAGUUUGGUUGAAGAUGCCGAAACCCAGCUCCCGUGGCUGAUACCAAAGGGGGCAUUCCCAGUGGGAAGCAGCAGGGCCUCCAGGAAGCAGGAGGCAGAAUCAGAGACCCCCAGGGCUGGGCUCCUCGCCUCUGCAUCGGUUCCUACCACAGGCUGAAAACAAAUUGUUGCAAGUCACAUCCUCAGCCGCCACAGAGGGAUCGACUUUCUCACUGCGGCAUCAGUGACAAGUCAGAUGUCCGUCACUGUGCCCAAAGGCACAGGGGCCCUGCCUGGUCCUGCUCUGGUGAGGUGCCCAUCCUUAUGCACCAAGAAAUUGUGGUCAGGGGAGGCAGCAGGACGAGAUGAGGAAACUGAGGCUCCCAGAGCAGAAGGAACUUGCUGGAGGUCACACAAUGAGUAAGCAGCAGAACUGGGACCCAAGCCCAGAUCCAUCAGGCUCCAGAGAGUCUGUGCUCUAACAACCAGGAGGCCCUGCCCAUUCUGCAGUCUGAAACCCCACAGAGCCCCUCCAGGAUCCUGUAGGACAGGAUGUGAAUCCAAGCUGCCAAGUUCCAGGGUCUGUGUUUAUAGCCACUGCGCUUCAUCGAAUGGAAGGAUAGAAGGGAGUAGGGGAGCGGAAGAUGAAGGAACCCUUGGUCUCCAGCCACUGCUGGAGAGAAUGACAGUCUUUCCUUGGACACACCUAACAAGCCCUCUGCCUUUAUGAGCAGGCUCCACCCACUCUGCGUGCUUGGCUGCAGACUCAGACGCUCUGGUGAGGAAGGAAGUUCCUCUGGUGAGGUCUAAAAACCUGUCUCACGGUGGAUCAGGCCUGUAAUCCAGCACUUUGGGAGGCCAAGGCGGGCAGAUCACUUGCAGCCAGGAGUUUGAGACCAGCCUGGCCAACAUGGUGAAACCCCAUCUCUACCAAAAAUACAAAAAUUAGCUGGGCAUGGUGGCACACACCUGUAAUCCCGGCUACUCAGGAGACUGAGGCAUGAGACUCCCUUGAACCUGGGAGGUGGAGACUGCAAUGAGCCAAGAUUGCACCACUGCACUCCAGCCACUGCACUGGGCGACAGGAUGAGAACCUGUCUCAAAAAAAAAAAAAAAAAAGAACCUGUCUCAGAUGCUUCUUUCUCUGGCCACUGAGGUCUUUACCAUGAAUCCCUUCAUUUCUGCAAGGAAAAUGCCUUUGAAAUAGCAACCAAUGUUUUCUCCUAUGAUUUCCAGUCAUCCCUCAACCAUGUUUCAGGCCACAGU
rnacentral:lncRNA from 10 species